AGUACUGGAUGACACGUUUGGUGUUCACAGUCUUUCCUGCACCGGAUUCUCCACUAUGGGUGAGUAUGGGAAAUAGACUCAGGUAUAAGGCAUGUUUUGGAUUUCAAGCUGCUCUUUGGUUUAGGUUAGAUGGCAUUGAUAUACUUACGUAAUCAAGACUGACUGGUUCUCACGAUCUACAAGAAUAAUUAGGAAAUGUGUUGUUUUAUGUUUUGUAACAAUGCAUAGUUUUCACUCCUAAAUAAUCACAUUACAUAACUAGCAAAUCUGUACAUGUAAAAUAUCCAAUUUCUAAUGACUCCUUAUUAUACUAAAAAUCACUUGAUUCUCUUUUUGGGUUAUUCAUACCUGUGUGCAUGAACUGAAAGGCAUUGUCAGAGAUGGAGAAGAUGUGGGGAGGAGCUUCAAUUCUCUUCUUGCCCCUGUAGCCGGACACAACAACAGCAUCGUACACUGGGAGCCACUUGUAGGGGUUCACAGUGACACAGAACAGCCCAGAGUAUGUCUGCAAUACAGAAAAUAAACAUUUAUUCAUACAUGUACUUAUUUAUAUGAAAGGACCGAUUUUGAAGAAAAACCAAUUAAACCGAUUUAAAAGAAAAACCUACGUAGAUCAUCCAGGCUGCGUAACGCUCUUUGAGGUUGAACAGCACAGCGGGCUCAUUGAGGUGGGUCAUCAUGGCCAUGUCCUCCAUUUUAUCGUACUUUGGAGGGUUCAUGGGGUGAAUGUCCUCCUCCUUAACUGUAAUGGUCUGAUUUAAGGAGACACAGAGAUUUGUCCCGAGAUAUAGGCAAAGUCACACAAUAGACCUUUAAAAUAAAAAUGAAUACAUGAAUCGCUUUACUUGCAAAACUGGUAGUGAUUACCAUAGUUCAAGUAGGACAUAUUUUAAAUUGUAAAUCUUAAUAAUUUGUGCUAAUGAUCUGUAAUUAAUCUGUUAGGUACACAGUUGUACUUACUUGGUUACACAAAGUCUUCACAGUGGCUUUGCCCCCCUCUCUACUUUGAAGAACCCCUUUGAGGUACAUCUCCUUUGGUUCAGCCACAAAAUAGGCCGUUUUGGCAUCAAAGGGUUUGUUCUGGGCUUCAAUCCUCUCUUUCUCUGGCUUCCGGAGGUAAAUGGACGCCGGGCCAAAACACUCCAUUUCCCCAUCACCCAUGAUGGCGGUUUACU